GGGAUGGGCCACCUUCCCUUCCAUGUUUAUUUAGUCUCUGGGCAGAUUAGGGGACAUACUAGGUUAUGUUUAGGAAGGAGUUAAUACUGUUCUAACUCAGGUGCUGAGUUUCUCUCAUAGGUGCCAGCUUGUUGCUGGGCAGAUAUUCCACAGAUGCUGAUUGGUUACCCCAGUAACGGCGGGAAGAAUUAUUUCUAUUUAAUGAGCAGCUGGAGCGAGCUGGGGUCUAUCCUGGAGCAACAUCUGGAGAAGUAUCAUCGUCUGUCAUUAUGUCCUGCUCUACUACUAAUGAUCUCUACCUGCUGCUGUUGGAUAAGGCCUCUGGUCCGGGGGGCGAAGCUUGGCUUCGGCUUUGUCUUCAGGAUUCUUCAGCUCCGGAGUCGCCCGAGGAAGGAGUACUGCGCUCUUCAGCUUUGGACCCAUCUCUGGUGCAAGCCUCUCCCGGAAGUCGCGGCACUAGCGAAGGGGCGGAGUUCCGGGAGGAUGCUCCGUCCGCAUCCACAUCGGCUGACGUCAUCAUCACUGGACCGGUAUCCGAGGACAUCACUUCAAGAGCUCCGGAAGCCAGAAGAUCUCCUGAACAGCAGCGCUGGUCGCUCAGGAGUGCGAGCCGGACGAAGAGGAAGAGUUUUUCGCCGGUGGUUGCCAGCGGUAGCCAGGCAGCUGCUAAGAAGAGUCCCGUCCCGCCCCCCCAUUCAUCUGUAUCCGGAUCGCCGAGGAGAAGGAGGCAAGCCCUGCAGCUCCGGUGAGGACAUCAUCCGAUGAAGCUACCUCCAUUGUUUGGAUUAUAGGACACUCCUUUGUCCAUUGGGCCAGGAGACAGGCGGCAGUCAGACCGUAUGGCCUAAAUCUGAGGUUUCCGGUUAACAAGGUGCCAGCUUGUUGCUGGGCAGAUAUUCCACAGAUGCUGAUUGGUUACCCCAGUAACGGUGGGAAGAAUUAUUUCUAUUUAAUGAGCAGCUGGAGUGAGCUGGGUUCUAUCCUGGAGCAACAUCUGGAGAAGUAUCAUCGUCCCAUCCCUCCCUCCCUGUCACGGUCUGUUUACGAGGGCGUCACCUUUAUGGGUGGACAGCUUUUUUCUUUUUUGCUUUAUUUUAGCUACUAGUGGGGGUGUCACCCAGAAUUUCUGGGUGGACAGUUAAGUUAUGGAGUGAUUAUACACUGGUGGUUAUUGGUUUAUUGUAUGGUUUUUAAAUGGUUAUUUAUUUAUUCAGUUAUUUAUUUAUUAAUUGUUUGGUUUUAUUAAUAACAUUAUUUCCCUCAAUAAACGGCCGUGGCCUUUUACCCCCAAAAAACAGUGUAAAUAAAAAUAAA